GUGACUCUUCGGAGUUUGCAUUGUUAAAUAUGCUAGUCCUUUCAUGAUUAUGUGAUAGGUGGUGCAUGGCCGUUCUUAGUUCGUGGAGUGAUCUGUCUGCUUAAUUGCGUUUCAAAUUACUUAUAAGGUAGCAAUACGCGAUGAAGCUUUCAAUAGUCCUCACGGAUUCACUUGAGUCUCUCGCUUCGCUAUCCUUUCGAAUGCAACGAACGUGACCGCAACCUCUUGUUGCCUUCGUUUAACAUCCUGCAGCUCGCUGUGGGUACUGAGGGCUUCACUCGGUGACUUUGGGCUGAGCAAUCGGUCUUUGACU
rnacentral:rRNA from 1 species